UCUCCCCGAUUAACCCGCGAAGUGAGCGGGACCCUCCUGCUUGCAGGAUACGGAGCGCCGCCUCCCUCGGUUGUUUACUUCUGUCAAAAUGGUCUUCCCGCGCGGGCCUCCACCACAAAGAUGAGCACACGGCCUUGGAGACGGUUUUCUAUUGGGUGAUUAUCCAGGGUUUUCGAAGUUACAGAGAUCAAACAAUUGUAGAUCCCUUCAGUUCAAAACAUAAUGUGAUUGUGGGCAGAAAUGGAUCUGGAAAAAGUAACUUUUUUUAUGCAAUUCAGUUUGUUCUCAGUGAUGAGUUUAGUCAUCUUCGUCCAGAACAGCGGUUGGCUUUAUUGCAUGAAGGUACUGGUCCUCGUGUUAUUUCUGCUUUUGUGGAGAUUAUUUUUGAUAAUUCAGACAACCGGUUACCAAUCGAUAAAGAAGAAGUUUCACUUCGAAGAGUUAUUGGUGCCAAAAAGGAUCAGUAUUUCUUAGACAAGAAGAUGGUCACGAAAAAUGAUGUGAUGAACCUCCUUGAAAGCGCUGGUUUUUCUCGAAGCAAUCCGUAUUAUAUUGUUAAACAAGGAAAGAUCAACCAGAUGGCAACAGCACCAGAUUCUCAGAGAUUAAAGCUAUUAAGAGAAGUAGCUGGUACUAGAGUGUAUGACGAACGAAAGGAAGAAAGCAUCUCCUUAAUGAAAGAAACAGAGGGCAAACGGGAAAAAAUCAAUGAGUUGUUAAAAUACAUUGAAGAGAGAUUACAUACUCUAGAGGAAGAAAAGGAAGAACUAG
rnacentral:sRNA from 1 species